AAAAAAAAUUAAAAAAAAAAAAAUUUCUUUUCUAGCCCUGGAGAGUUGCUGUAGAAGAGGGAUAAGAGAGGAAGACAACACAGGAGGAGAUAAGUCACUCUGGAUACAAGGGAAGGGUACAGCACACUCCCUGGUGAUGAUGCAGAAUAAGCAUGUGCCAACUAUAUGAGGCUGCCUGGAGGACAAUCUCAGCACAGUGACAUGACCUAAAAAAUAACAAAUCUCCCCUCUCC
rnacentral:lncRNA from 1 species